ACUCAAUAGCCAUAAUUUCUGCAUCUGAAUAGUCUGUCAUAAAGAAUGGUGGAUUCCACUCUGGGUUCCAGCUUGCUAUGACCUUAAGUGCUUCUGCAAUAUGGUCACUCGUCUCAGACUGAAUGAUAAAAUCUGCAACAGCAGGUGCUGUUGCCACUGUUCCUGAUGGACAUAAAGAAGGGUGUGAGAAAAUAUCAGAGGAUCCUCUUCUUCACAGGUCCAAGUAAAUGGGUGCUGGGUUCAGAAACAGCAAAAGAUGGGAAGAGCAUCACCUCGUGUACAUGUAUGUGUGCUGGACAGCCCACUUUGCGUGUACCUUGGAGACGUGUUCGACUAGAUGUUAAUGUUCGUCC